AUUGCCUCAGUAACGGCGAGUGAAGCGGCAAAAGCUCAAAUUUGAAAUCUGGCGCCCGCCCGAAUUGUAAUUUGAAGAAGCGACUUUGGACCUGGCUCUUGUCUAAGUUCCUUGGAACAGGACGUCAUAGAGGGUGAGAAUCCCGUUAGAUGAGAUGCCCAGGGCCGUGUAAAGCGUUUUCGACGAGUCGAGUUGUUUGGGAAUGCAGCUCUAAGUGGGUGGUAAAUUCCAUCUAAAGCUAAAUAUUGGCGAGAGACCGAUAGCGAACAAGUACAGUGAUGGAAAGAUGAAAAGAACUUUGAAAAGAGAGUGAAAAAGUACGUGAAAUUGUUGAAAGGGAAGGGCUUGUGAUCAGACUUUGCAUUUCUAUGGCUUCCUUUCGGGGGGGUCCUCUGGAGUUGUAGGGCCAGCAUGGGUUGGAGGGGUGAGAUAAUGGGGAAGGAAUGUGGCUCUGCCUCGGUAGAGUGUUAUAUCCUUUUCUGAUGUCACCACCUUCGACCGAGGACUGCGGUACUAGGAUGCUGGC
rnacentral:rRNA from 1 species